AAAUUAUACAUACACAUACAGGAGAGCUUGCUGCAGACCCUCUUCUGCCGCCAUAUCCAAGUUUGGAUGUUAGAGGAUGACACGCCGGAAAAAACCAUUUCAAGGGUCUGUCUAGCAUCAUAAUUAGCAGCACCUCAUCAUCAUGUAUUACUCAUAAAUCAUAAAACACCUGGCUGUAUGAUCCAGGUCCCUCUCCCAAUCAUACAAGGAGAGGUUUCUACGUAGCUUGGUACAAGCAUAUAAUAAAACCAUUUCAAGUGUCUGUCUAGCAUCAUAAUUAGCAGCACUUCAUCAUCAUGUAUUUCAUAAAACACCUGGCUGUAUCCAGGUCCCUCUCCCGAUCAUAGAAGGAGAGGUUUGUACGUAGCUUGGUACAGGCAUAUAAUAAAACCAUUAU
rnacentral:lncRNA from 1 species